rnacentral:ncRNA from 1 species
CCUGUAAAGGGCAAACCCGUCGCGAGGCGGGGACGCAAAGCCACCGGUCUUGGAAAAAGACAGCGGAGCUGCCGUAG